AGCUUUGAUGUGUUCUAAAAGUUGGUUAUGGAAUUCAGAGAAUGCAGGUUCUAGAUCAAUUGAAGAAUCAACUUUUACUGAUGAGAUUGAAUCCGAUGAUGAAGGUGGAUCUUUGGUCAGUAACAUUACUCAAUGUUUGCAAGAUUAGUAGACAUUAUUGUUGAUCGGUUGAGCGCUGAAGAAGAAAUGUUGAUGACAUCUUUGGUGAAGUUGGUGGUUAUUUUGAUGAUGGACAUUGUUUUCAUUUUCUAUUUAUUUCUAAUUUGGUGUAAUUUGAACUA